CCUACGGGAGGCAGCAGUGGGGAAUAUUGCACAAUGGGGGAAACCCUGAUGCAGCGACGCCGCGUGAGUGAAGAAGUAUUUCGGUAUGUAAAGCUCUAUCAGCAGGGAAGAAAAUGACGGUACCUGAGUAAGAAGCCCCGGCUAACUACGUGCCAGCAGCCGCGGUAAUACGUAGGGGGCAAGCGUUAUCCGGAUUUACUGGGUGUAAAGGGAGCGUAGACGGCAGCACAAGUCUGGAGUGAAAUGCCGGGGCUUAACCCCGGAACUGCUUUGGAAACUGUGCAGCUAGAGUGCAGGAGAGGUAAGUGGAAUUCCUAGUGUAGCGGUGAAAUGCGUAGAUAUUAGGAGGAACACCAGUGGCGAAGGCGGCUUACUGGACUGUAACUGACGUUGAGGCUCGAAAGCGUGGGGAGCAAACAGGAUUAGAUACCCGGGUAGUC
rnacentral:rRNA from 1 species